AGUUCGGACUGCAGGCUGCAACCCGCCUGCACGAAGUUGGAAUUGCUAGUAAUCGCGGAUCAGCAUGCCGCGGUGAAUACGUUCCCGGGCUUUGUACACACCGCCCGUCACACCAUGAGAGUUGGAGAUACCCGAAGCCUAUGAGCUAACUUUUAGAGGCAGUAGUCGAAGGUAGAAUCAAUGAUUGGGGUGAAGUCGUAACAAGGUAGC
rnacentral:rRNA from 1 species